UACGUAGGGGGCGAGCGUUGUCCGGAUUUACUGGGUGUAAAGGGCGUGUAGGCGGGAUUGAAAGUCAGAUGUGAAAUACGGGGGCUUAACCCCCGGGCGGCAUUUGAAACUUCAGUUCUUGAGUGCAGGAGAGGUAAGCGGAAUUCCCGGUGUAGCGGUGAAAUGCGUAGAGGUCGGGAGGAACACCAGUGGCGAAGGCGGCUUACUGGACUGCAACUGACGCUGAGGCGCGAAAGCGUGGGGAGCAAACAGGAUUAGAUACCCUGGUAGUCCACGCUGUAAACGAUGAUUACUAGGUGUAGGGGGUAUCGACUCCCCCUGUGCCGGAGUUAACACAAUAAGUAAUCCACCUGGGGAGUACGGCCGCAAGGUUGAA
rnacentral:rRNA from 1 species